CAGGACGGGAAUGAAGCAGGCCAAGGAGGCACAU
rnacentral:SRP_RNA from 13 species